rnacentral:rRNA from 1 species
GAUGAACGCUAGCGGCAGGCUUAAUACAUGCAAGUCGAGGGGCAGCAUGAUUGUAGCAAUACAAUUGAUGGCGACCGGCAAACGGGUGCGGAACACGUACACAACCUCCCAAUAAGUGGGGAAUAGCCCAGAGAAAUUUGGAUUAAUACCCCGUAACAUAACGAUGUGGCAUCACAUUGUUAUUAUAGAUUUUUCGCUUAUUGAUGGGUGUGCGGCUGAUUAGAUAGUUGGCGGGGUAACGGCCCACCAAGUCUACGAUCAGUAGCUGAUGUGAGAUCCUGAUCAUCCACACGGGCACUGAGACACGGGCCCGACUCCUACGGGAGGCAGCAGUAAGGAAUAUUGGACAAUGGACGCAAGUCUGAUCCAGCCAUGCCGCGUGAAGGAUUAAGGUCCUCUGGAUUGUAAACUUCUUUUAUAAGGGACGAAAAAAGGCUUUUCUAAGUCGUCUGACGGUACCUUAUGAAUAAGCACCGGCUAACUCCGUGCCAGCCGCCGCGGUAAUAC